rnacentral:rRNA from 1 species
AUUGAACGCUGGCGGCAGGCUUAACACAUGCAAGUCGAGCGAGCGGCGGAGGGGUGAGUAAUGUCGGGGAAACUGCCUGAUGGAGGGGGAAAUCCAGGGGAAACGGUCGCUAAUACCGCAUACCAUCAGAUGCGCCCAGAGGGGAUUAGCUAGUAGGGGGGGUAAUUGCUCAUCUAGGCGACGAUCCCUAGCGGGUCUGAGGGGAUGACCAGCCACACUGGAACUGAGCCACGGUCCAGACUCCUACGGGAGGCAGCAGUGGGGAAUAUUGACCAAUGGGCGCAAGCCUGAUGCAGCCAUGCCGCGUGUGUGAAGAAGGCCUUCGGGUUGUAAAGCACUUUCAGCGAGGAGGCGUUACUCGCAGAAGAAGCACCGGCUAACUCCGUGCCAGCAGCCGCGGUAAUAC